rnacentral:rRNA from 1 species
AUAGCGUAUAUUAAAGUUGUUGCGGUUAAAAAGCUCGUAGUUGAAUCUGUGUCCCGCGCUGUCGGUUCACCGCUCGCGGUGUUUAACUGGCAUGAUUGCGGGACGUCCUACCGGUGGGCUUGCCCCUCGGGGCGGCCCAACUAAUAUCCCAUCGCGGUGCUCUUUACUGAGUGUCGAGGUGGGCCGGUACGUUUACUUUGAACAAAUUAGAGUGCUUAAAGCAGGCUAUCCUCGCCUGAAUACUGUGUGCAUGGAAUAAUGGAAUAGGACCUCGGUUCUAUUUUGUUGGUUUUCGGAACCCCGAGGUAAUGAUUAAUAGGGACAGAUGGGGGCAUUCGUAUUGCGACGUUAGAGGUGAAAUUCUUGGAUCGUCGCAAGACGGACAGAAGCGAAAGCAUUUGCCAAAAAUGUUUUCUUUAAUCAAGAACGAAAGUUAGAGGUUCGAAGGCGAUCAGAUACCGCCCUAGUUCUAACCAUAAACGAUGCCAGCUAGCGAUCCGCCGAAGUUCCUCCGAUGACUCGGCGGGCAGCUUCCGGGAAACCAAAGCUUUUGGGUUCCGGGGGAAGUAUGGUUGCAAAGCUGAAACUUAAAGGAAUUGACGGAAGGGCACCACCAGGAGUGGAGCCUGCGGCUUAAUUUGACUCAACACGGGAAACCUCACCAGGCCCGGACACCGGAAGGAUUGACAGAUUGAUAGCUCUUUCUUGAUUCGGUGGGUGGUGGUGCAUGGCCGUUCUUAGUUGGUGGAGCGAUUUGUCUGGUUAAUUCCGAUAACGAACGAGAUUCUAGCCUGCUAAAUAGGCGUACUUUCCGGUAUCUCGAAGGCCCCCGGCCUCGGUCGGGUGGUUUUUACUACCGGCGUACAAAUAAAUCUUCUUAGAGGGAC